CAGCCAUCUGUGCAGACAACUGAGGAACCUGCAGUGCUGUGGAGGACAGAGGAGGGGAGCUGAACACAGAAACAUCUUGCGUGAUUGAAGUCCACUCUCCCCAAGGAAAGCAAUGAAGACACUGACUGAACCUUUUGUCCUGUGCUUGUGGCUGCAGCUGAACUGUGUGAGCAGAGGAGAGCAGCUGGAGCAGCAGCCCUAUCUCCUGAGUGUCCAGGAGGGAGACAGUGCCGUUAUCAACUGCACCUACACAGACAGUUAUUACUUCUACUGGUACAAGCAAGAGCCUGGAACAGGUCUCCAGUUCCUUAUGAAUGUUCUUUCAAAUGUGGACAGAAAAGAACAAAGACUCACUGUCCUUCUGAAUAAGGAGGACAAACGUCUCUCCCUGAACAUCACAGUUGCCCAUCCUGGGGACUCAGCCACAUACUUCUGUGCAGCAAGUGCACAGUGCUCCGCAGGCACCUGCUGCCUGCACACAAACCUGAGACCACAAAGACAGACAGUUUUCCACCUUUUAUACGAAAAUAUUUCUGAAUUAUAUUAAUAGUGGGACAUUUUUUAACAACCUGAAAUUCUGUUUCCAAAAGAUACAAUGUGUGUUAAAAUAUUUUGUGUUAAUACCAGAUGAAAACGAAUUCUUAGUUGUGGAGGCUCUAGAACCAACUUUUAGGUUAGGAAC